CCUACGGGUGGCUGCAGUGGGGAAUUUUGGACAAUGGGCGCAAGCCUGAUCCAGCCAUUCCGCGUGAGUGAAGAAGGCCUUCGGGUUGUAAAGCUCUUUCGGCCGGGAAGAAAUCGCACGGGUUAAUACCCUGUGUGGAUGACGGUACUGGAAGAAGAAGCACCGGCUAACUACGUGCCAGCAGCCGCGGUAAUACGUCGGGUGCGAGCGUUCAUCGGAAUUACUGGGCGGAAAUCGUGAGACAGCUGUGAAAUCCCCGGGCUUAACCUGGGAACUGCGGUUGUGACUGCAAGACUUGAGUGCGGCAGAGGGGGGUGGAAUUCCACGUGUAGCAGUGAAAUGCGUAGAGAUGUGGAGGAACACCGAUGGCGAAGGCAGCCCCCUGGGUCGACACUGACGCUCAUGCACGAAAGCGUGGGGAGCAAACAGGAUUAGAUACCCGAGUAGUC
rnacentral:rRNA from 1 species